AACAAUGAUAAUUCUAUUGCAAAAAUCGAAACCGAUACGAUGGUUUGCUCUGCCGCAAAGAGUCGACCGAUCCGAUCGCGCGUUGGCUGACAACUGAAACUGAAAGUUUGAAUCGUAUAGUGGAUCAUCUUGAUUAUGACUUUCGUUAUUUUUUUUUUCAAAAGUAUUACUUGAAGAAUUUUUAUCGAAAUGGCUGAAGCAAUCCACAGGCCGUUCGUAGAGAAAUAUUCGUCAGAACCCAUCAAACAAAAUCCCCGGAGAAGCAUGCCAAAUGCUACGGGAUUCGUGAAAAAAACGGUGCCGAGUUCCUUAAAGAAUUUCAGUGUAUAUUCAAAAAUAAUACCUGAUACAAUUUUUUUAGAAUAAUUUUUAAAAUAUGCAUAAAUUUGAAUACGAUACUCUAGAGGAAUUAGCAUAAAAUUAGAUACAAAAAUUCUUAGGUAUUAUUGCUUGGAACCAGUCUUGCGAAUAAUCGCGACCAUCACGAGACAAUCACUUGAACCGCUUUCUGGUGUCACCCUUCCCAAGGUGAUACGAACCAGCUAGCAUGUCAUGCCUGGAAUGACAAACAUGUUGUGGGUUCCACCUUUGGCAGCUUUGCAGCGAUAGCAGUUGCUGAGUAUGCUUCAGGCGGGUUGCUAGAGAAUCAAUCUCUCUGAGCAACGAUGCAUAACGGGCGAAGUGAGAGCGUUUGCCGUAGCCAGGGCGAACUGCGUGGUGCGCUCAAUGUGUGCGUUUAAACUGAGCUAUGCAAAACGAAUAGUAUUUAUGACGUAGUAUCGUGCUUGUGGUAAUACACAUGCAUAGUUUUACAUGCUGUUGCGCGUGCAUCUGCUUGAGGCGACGGAGAGAGUUAUAACACUCACAUGAGCCGUAUCCAAGUCAGGAUGAUUGUAGCAAAACAAGGGUGACCGGGUGACUGUAGAGAGAGAGCGAAUCAGAAACCGCAGAGACAGGGUGAUACAAGUUUGGUGUUUAUCAGCUUUUUUGUUGUACGCUGAUGCUUCACGACACUGCUUGGAACAUUCCAGUGAGACGGACACUCAAGAAAGCAUCUUUAGAUAGGAACCCUUCAGUAAGUGUAUCUGGAGGAAAUACUGAAAAAAUGCCUGAGCUACCUAUCGUAAAAUUCUUAAAGAACAAUAUUUAUUUUCUAGAGUCAUUUCAUUUUUUUUCAGAAAGUUAGUUUGAAAUUCCUUCCUGAAUUUUUUAUGAGUUCUCCAAGAAUUUCUCCGAUAAUUCUACUUGAAAUGCCAGCAAGGAAUCCCAUAGAAUUUUUCCCCGAAAUUUUCACUGGCAGUACUUGCAAUGAAUUUAUGCAUUUUUUAAGUUUUCUCAAGGAUUUUUCUAAACAAAUAUUUCUGGAAAUGAUCCUGGGAUAUGGAAUAUCACUCUGAAAAAUCCUGGGCAGAUGGUUAUUGGAACUGCCCUAACAGCCUCUGGUGCAUUGACUUUUUUGAGAAACUUGUGUUUUUCUAAAAUUAAAUAAAGACAACCAUCAUAUUUAUAAUAAUAAUAUUUGAGGAAUUGUUGCAGAAUAUUUUUAGAUGAACAUUUUGAAGAGUUUUCUUUAAUCUAAUUAAAAGUCCUAUGGUUAAUAGUCUCCGAAACUCUUUCAAACAUUUUCUCCAGCUUUUAAUUUCAGCGUUUCUACAAGAAUUUUUUAUUCAAAAACUUCACUGCCCUCGGACGCAAAAAUGUUACAUGGUAUAAUUUACGAACACGUGAUAAACGCAUUUGAAGUUUCAAAAUAAACUUUGGCUGUUGCCGCAUUUUUUUGACUAACGCAAAAAACUAUCGAAAUAAAUAUAUUUUUAUAUUUUGACAAAAUGUUUCAAAAAUACGUAUCAAAAUAUGGCGUUUGACAUAAAAAAACUCAUAAAUUCGAAAUGUAACAUAUGACAUUUAUACGUCUGACGGCAGUUCAGGCACUACGAAAGAAAUCUUUAGAAAAUUUUAUAGACGGAUUUUAGGAAAAUUCAAAAAAUGGGUGUUCACCAGGAUCUCCGAACAAUAUCAGAAGAUUUUUAGAAGGCACAGAUUCCUAUCUACGCGAAUAGACGUUUUCCAGAGAAUUAAAUGGUUUAACUGCAUACAGUAUUGUCACAAUGAUGCAAAUCAGCAAAACCCAAUUCCGGGCCAAAUCCGUGAAAUCCGCGUAGUUGUAACAAUCCUGCAUUUAUUAUUAUAGAUGAAUACAUUCAAUAAUAACGGAAUCGUUCUUGUAGCAAAAUGAUAAAAAAGAAGAGGAAAAUUCAUAAACAGUCUUUACUCUUCAUAAGAUUGAGCUUACGUCUACAUUUCCAAGGUCCCAGGAUGGUGGGAUAGUAGGGAAGGUUUCUUAUGGAACAGGAUUCAGCUUAGCUUAGAGACUGAUUGCACGGUUGUUACUCCGUGAUUGACAAGACAAUUGCACAAUGAAUCAACUGAAUGGUUGACUAGAAGUGGCCUUAACCAUUCUCGCUGUGUAAGCUUCAGAGGCUCUCUUUAGCGGUAACGCUCUUUGUAGUGAAGCCCGAAAAAUUUUGUAUGGGUCGUAACGCUACGCUGGACUCCCCCCCCCCUUAAAUAACUUAAAUUGUCUGCAGUUUUGAGUAGUUCAUAAACGCUAGACUGAAGGAACUCUACUAAUUCAAACAACAAGUUGCAAACAGAUAAUUUUAUUCAGCACGUUUUGUACAUUUAUCCAAAAUGGCCUAGUUGUAGAAAUGAGAGUGCUGAAAAAAAUCGAGUUUUACAGCGAGUUACAUACAAAAUUGUUUGCUCUUACGUUGUGAAAACUUUGUUCUCCCUACUGUUUUUUUUUUGCGUUCUUAGUCUACUUCCUUGUUUAAAAUGUAUGAACAAUCGUUUCUUUUUACAAAUCUCAAUUUCUCCAUGGUUUUGCCUGAUUAAACUUCAUUGAUCAAAAACUAACAUACCAAAAUUAUACGACCCAAAUAGGACUCUCCGUUCGCGAUUUAAGCGCCGCGCUACAUAUGUAUGCCACUGCAUUUUUAUAUAGAAUAGAUAAUGCAGCCAUCAUACUCAUUCUUCUGAUGAAGAAUGUAACCUAGAAAAAAUCCUACUAAAACAGAAUUUCCCACAAUAGCAAAACAUAUUGCUGGCAAUUUGUUUGAUAUACAGCUAUGUUCAUAAAAAUAGCAGUGAAAGCCGUUUUCCAUACAAAAUUACCAACUUUGGCUUUCUGUAACUUUGUUUAUGAGCGAUUGAGCUGAAAAUUUGACAGCGAACAACAAAUAUGGCAUUUCGUGAUCAAUCGAUCAAGUAUUGGUGCUAGUUUAUUAUACUUAAGUGGCCAUGCAAUAUCCGGAACCAUUCCGGCGAUAUUCCGGAUUGUGCUGGGGUCAGGGGGUUGCCAAAAUGACAAAAAGUGAUUAUUUCGUGAGUUAUUGUGUCGAAAUUUCUGUUGCGAACAGCGAAACACAACUGCUAUAACCAGAUUUGAAUAAAUUAACCUAUCCGGAUCAUCAUGACAGAUUCUGCUGGGCCGCAUUGAGGACAUUUCUGGUUUUUAACCUAAACAUGCCUUGUGACAUAUUAAUCUUCAUGAUUUCGAAUGAAUGAGUCAGCAACGAUAGCUUGAAGUCAGUAUCAACUAAUACGACCACCCUGGAACAUCUAGCACAGAUUCCACGGGGGUGUCAUCAGGGACAUUUCACGCCUGAUCAAUCUCGGCUAUUUCAGCUUGUUAAAAACUUAACAGUCAAAGUUAAACAGCUUCUACUUCAAACAAGGGACCAGCUCCGGCGGUGUGUUAGCUGCUGUAGCGAGUACUAAGAGAGACAAGCGUAACAGCGGCUAUUUUUUUGCUGUGUAGAUCAUAGAAUGGUUUUCCUGAUUUAACACGAUGUUUUAUUGUGAGAAUCUAACGUGGUAUUCAUGGCGAAAAGUUGCUGUAAACUUGAGUUUUAUGGAGUCUGAUACGUUCAAGAAAGGACGGCAUAAAAACAUGAAAAAAGCCAGAAGCUUUCUUUACUUUCACAGAAAUGAAAACUUUUCUAAGAAACUUAAGUUUAGGCUUAUCUGUGGGUGUUCAAUUUUAUGAAAACAAGAUAAAAAUGAAAGAAUAAAAACAUUGGAAUAACAAAAUCUUGAUAAGGAAAAUCGAAUAAACAAAUCCAAUAUCGUUUGGUAACCCCUGUAUCAACCACCGAAAGCAUCACGCCCCACGACGACAACGGCAGAGGACUCUUCUUGGAACAUGCGCUCGCGUUACGCUGUUCUGGCAAGAAUCCCCGGUUUUUCAGUGCGUUCACGUGACUAUCACAGCACAUUCACUUCCUCUCGUACCUAGUGUCACCGAAGGGUUCUCGAACAAAAAUGUGGCACAUGCGCAGAAGCGUAAAUGCCGUAUCCUGAAAGCUGGAAAGCUUUCUGUCGAUACAGCCCGGAUUAGCGCUAUCACAAGUUUUGAUAAGGUUAUGGGCUUUUACUCGUGAAUAGCGCCACUACGUGGCGACUAGCUUAACUCGAUUGUGACGUCGUCUUUCUAUCCACACCCACACAUUUACAAAUCAAGAAAUCAUCAAAAAAAAACUUCAUCAGAUUUUUUAUUCACUCCAAAGCAAGCAGAAGCGAGCGGAUGAUUAUGGAAAAUCCUUGCAAUGACAGAAAGGAAGCACAUUAGCAAAGCAUUCAUCGGGUGAUGAAAAGUGCUUACUGCAGAAGCAGAGAAACACCCAAAGCGUGAAUGUCCUUGCCCCCCAUCAGCAUAGUCAGAGUCACCCACUCCACAGUAAUAAAUAAGGGUGGGUGGGAGCUGAGGGAAAAAACUUGAAGAAACGGGAAAAUGAAGGGUCGCGAGGGAGGAUUGUUGGGAAUCCUCAUUAACCAUCGAACGACAGUUGACGGAAUUACAGGAGGUGAGGCGAUCGUAUCAGCAGCACCAACUUUGUGUCAAAGUGAAAGAGAGCUACUGGGUCUAAUUAACACGUAAUGACUACUGGCUGCGCUGGGUUCGGUGUUAACUUUCGGAAUCAACUUGAAAUGAAUUGGCGAUGAAGUUUUUCAAUUAUUUGUUUGACUUGCAUAUUGGGUGACCAAUGAGUGUGGGAUAGGUAUGGUCUUGGGCGGGGCGGUGAAUGGAGUGCAUACUACAAUAUAGAUUAUGAAAUGUAGGACGAAACCAUUUCAAAAGUGAACAAUAAAACUGAUAACAUGUUCAAAUGUGAACUGAUAAAACAUAGCAUGGAACAUGCACACACAUAAUUCAUAUCCACAGUUUCUCUUGUGAUCAAAAUUCAGUUGAGUGUGGUCGAAAAAGUCUGAAGCACGCCCAAUCCAUUCAGAACACAGAAUACUAAACAAAAAUUCACACGUUCAAAGUGAUUCAUUCAUUAACAGCAAUAAUGGCAUAUGUAAUUAGAAAACUGUGCUCUCGCCGGGUCACUUAUUUCGUUGGUUUGACCUAGACGUGCAAUAUUCAUAAUUCACCAUAUUGAACGCUUCGAUCGCUACCGUGUUGUUGCUCAUUCAAUGGACAUUUCGCGCGAGAUUACGUUCGAGUGCACUUCAACUUGACCGCCUCGCGCAGUCCGGUUCGACCUUCCCGGAAACUGUGGGAAUUUAUUCUUCCGCGAUGGUUCGCGCCACUAUAAAUUACUUCACUCGUUGUUGAUAUGAUUUACUGUACUUUCAUACUAAGGGUUCGUUGAAAUAUUAUUGUUUGAAUGUAAUUAGUGUUAUAUUUGGAUAAGCACUCGAAAACCAAAAACCGUCAAUUACAAAUCCAUAAACGGCUGCCCAGUGACCCAAAAGCUUUCGAACGGGAGAUUUCUCCCCAUAGGACCUUGCACACAGAGGUUGUUUUGCCUCAGGGACAACGCACCCACACACAACCGCUCGUAAAAUAACAUGUUGGUGUUUAAAUCAAUGUCUAUCCUCGAGGGGGUAAAAGCACACAAAAAAUGCCAAAACAAGCAUUAUGUUAUACUGUACUAUGUAUCGAUCAAACCGCACAUAAAAUAAACAAUCAUAAAUGCUCUCAUCUAUAUUUGCAUUUAUGAUCCGAUUUGCGGUUCUAACGAUGAUAUCCUCCCGCACCCAAAAGUCAACAAACAGCAAGCAGCGAUGGAAUGGAUCAACAGUGGUGGUUUUUGGGGAGCUAAUAAUAGUGGUUAACGUAGUAAUGUUUGUUUUUCUAAACAAAACAUAUGGAACGGAAUUUUACUAAACCAGCAUAAAUAUUAGAGGUCAAAUCGAAGCGUUCAGGUGAAAUGAUUGAGGCUUCCAUUAUGCUCAUAUGGCAACUAGUGUGAACCACACUGGACAAAUUGGUUUUGAAAUACGAUUCAGUUAUGGGAAUUCGGCAGAAAAGUUAAGCGACUUCCAUGUCGAUGGAAUAACUCACGCUUUGUGAAUUUGGCGUAGUGGGAUUCGAUCCUAGGUCCUCGGCGUAAAAGGCAUGCCCUUUAACUAUCGUACCAUUUUCGCUCCACAUUUAAGCAUAUUUUGUUAUUAAUUGAUUAAUUGAUUGAUUAAUUGAUUUAUUUGAAAACGGAGGAAAAAGAUGUUACCCAGACAACCAUGAGUCGAAUAAGGAUGCACGCUGUACAUCGUAUGAAGCCCUAUUUGAAAUCACUAUUGCAUAUAUGUACAGAAAAGGGACAAUUUUUAUCACAUACAUUCUGAUAUUCUGAUGUUUCAUAGCGACGAACUUUAUUUAUUCGCAAAAGCGUGCGAGCGAACUCGCAGAGUGUCAGUUGAUUCGCAUAGAUGCGUACAUCUUCAUUUAAGUCGAAGCAUGGCUGAUCGAAAAUAUUUUUUACCGUGCAGGCAAUGACUAAACUAUACAGUUUUAUAUUUUUUGGCAAAUCUCCUUUGUCAUGCAAAGUGUUAAAAAAUAUAAAUGCUUUAGUUUUGUCAUUGCUUGUACGGUAAAAAACAUUUUCGAUCAGCCAUGCUUCGACUUAAAUGGAGGUUUCAGUGUACUGCGAUUAUUAUAAGACUUCGCUUCUCUCUCUCUCUCUUCUUGGCGUAACGUCCUCAUUGGGACAAAGCCUGCUUCUCAGCUUAGUGUUCUAUGAGCACUUCCACAGUUAUUAACUGAGAGCUUCCUCUGCCAAUGACCAUUUUGCAUGCGUAUAUCGUGGGGCAGGCACGAAGAUACUCUAUGCCCAAGGAAGUCAAGGAAAUUUCAUUUACGAAAAGAUCCUGGACCGACCGGGAAUCGAACCCGUCACCCUCAGCAUGGUCAUGCUGAAUACCCGUGCGUUUACCGCCUCGGCUAUAUGGGCUAUAUGGGACUUCGCUUGAUACUUUUCUUAUUAGGGGUUUUGACCCCAUACCCGGCACUACAGGUAAACAAAAUUGUGCAUUACCUAAAUUCACAACAAAACGACCGUUUUCUUCCACUUCUUCCAUAUGAAUCAGAUAUCUUAUUGCGUAAACUUGUUGUUAAGAGUGAUUGAACGCGUUCACUGCUCCAAGUCCAGCGCCAAUUCUCGGCACCAGUGCUGAACUUCCAGCAAAAUCACUUCGGCACCCAAUUCUGUGCUGACGAAGUGCACUCACCUGCUUGUAAUAGUUGUUGUGAGCACUUGUGUGGCUUCAGAGUGAACGUGCAGCUCAUUGACUAUGAAUGAUUACAUACGGAAGUGCUUUUGGGAUAUAUGCGGCAAGUGAUAUUUUUUGCUGCGAGGUGCCGGGAAUUGACGCGGGUGCCCAAGUAAUUAGAAACCCUAUGUCAGUUUAUCUCGCACUGUUGUACGAACGAAAUCACAAAAAAGGUGAAAAUAAACUCGUUGAAGUCUUCAUACAAGCUAGAAUCGUUUAUGUUGACAUAAUGCGAUUUGAUACGUGAUAACAAUGAAAUGGAUGUUGUUGGACUGUGAAUGCAGUGCCAAAAAGCUACAAGAAAGUGGACAGCCAUUAUUAUGGUUACGAAGAAAGUUACAAAGUCAUCAUUUUUGUUUUGUUGGCCUGAUGGUCAACAAUUGGUGGCGCUAGUAAGAGAGGAGUAGUGAUAACUGUGCGGGAAAUCAUGCUUCGUUGUUUUUAACUCCAGAUAGCCUGCCGAAAACAAACACCACAGGUAAACCAUGUGCAUUCCAACAAACACUGAGGUGAGUUAGAAUGUCAUUGUAAUUACAUUCGCAUAAUAUGUUAUAUUACGUCGCAAUAGAGCACACCGUGCAUUGCAAAAGAUACCCGAGCAGGAAUGAAUAACUGACACAUAACUGCUGCAUAAUAAAGUCAGGUAUCAUACCAAGACAAGGUAUUGGCCGGUUACUCAGAUAUUGAAAAUAACUUAUUUUGGUAAUUUCUAGGUAUUGAUGAAAUACCUCGACGAGUUAUUGGCUUGGUGUUGAGGACUGUUUGAGGUAUUAUUAUGGAAAAAUCACUAUUUGUAUGAAAAAAUCACCGAUUAUUAUUUAGGUAUUGCCAUACCUGAUGUCAUUAUUUACGUGUUAUGCAUAGAAUACACACAAGUUAUUAUUUUAGGUAUUUUACCUCUUAUGCAGGGCUUCUCAAUAUCUCAUUCAGGUUGUAGGUAUUCGGUUUUCAUUCCUGAGUUUGGUAUUCUUCAGCUAUUUUCUCCUGCUCGGGUAUCGCUUCAAAUCAUAAAGCUUUAUUAUUUUUCCGGUCAUGCACGUAUAGGGCCUCCACUUUUGUACGCAUAAGGCUCUUUUUCUGCAUCUUAUGCGAUGUAACUUUGCCACAAAAAAGUACGUAUUACAUGGACAUAAACUUCAUUAUACGUGUAAAUUGGCUGUCUGGGUAGGUUGUCAAUAUAGCGCUUAAGAAAUUUACGUCAAGUUGUACGUGAAAGUUCUCCAAAAGAACUCUGAAAUUAAGAACUUCAUGAUAACCUAUCCGUAGACAAUCGCAAUGCAACUGGAAGUGAUCUACUACGUAUACUGAGAUUUGUAAAAUCCUCAGAACAUCCAGAAGUCGAAGUGGACAACGUUUUUAAGCGUAAAUGUAAAACUCAAAAGGCCAUUGAGAAAUAUUGAUUUUUGCACCUUACCGAGCGGUUUGAACAUUUUGAAUAACCACCGUAGCCUACGGGUUAAAACUAAAGCCUUUUGACACGCAGAGCACUUCAUACCAAUAAAUUGUUUUGUGGAGCACCCAUAGCACCAAAGCAUACCAUUUAUAUAUUUGCCCUAAUCUCAUACUUCCUUUUCUGACUUCAUUAGUUACCAAUAUCCCUCGUCUUGUCGAUGAUCACGAUGAGCGAAGUAUAUGGGGUGAUUCUCUAGCGAUAUUUUUUAGACUUAUCCUCAAAGCCUUCUAACAAACUUCUUUCAAGAUUUUUUAUCACUUCCUCACCGCGAAUUGUAAUAUAUUCCUGUGAUAUUUUUGGUAGAUGCUUAAUACUAUCUAGGCGUGUACACAGCUGAUUGAAUUGCAAAAUUUGUAGCAGGUUCAAUAUAAAGUUCAUUGCAAUGUUUCGGCAGAUGUGUAAUAAAUUAUUUCCAGUUUUUUUGGUAAAAUCAGAGCUAGUUAGUCAAGGUUCCCCGAUUUCAGCGCCCCUUCACUGGUACAUCCCCGUAGAUGAAUUACUGGAGGAAUCUCUUAAGGAAUCGCUUGACCAAUUCCUGAAGGAACUACUGGAACAACUUCUCAAAGAAUCCAUGGAAUUACUUUUUAAGAAAUUCCAGCCGAAAUUUCUGCAGUAAUUCUAGGAAUAUUGAAGAAUUCUCUUAAGAUAUUUCCGAAAGUAUCGCUGAGAGAUCCCCUAACAAAAAUCCUAAACAUUUUCUAAUGAAUUCCUGGAGAUACGCUUGGGGGAUUUUUUGACAAAAAAACAUAGAGGAAUACUCGGUGGAACUUCUGAUGAAAUGUGUGCAGGAAACCUCUGCUAGAAUGUCUUCCAGCAAUUUCGUAAGAAGCGAAGAAGCCUUAUAAGAAUCUUUGAAAGAAUCUGUAGAAAAAAAAAAUCUGAAAGAUUCCUUGCAGGAUUUUCUGAGACAUUCUUAAGAAAUCCUUGAAACAAUUUCUGGAAGGGAAACGUCUUGAAUCUGUUGUAGAGAUAAUAAAGCAAUCUUUGGAGGACAUUCUUUGGAAAGCAUCUGAGAAGGAGUUCUGAAUUACUAAUUGGGUAAAUCAGUAUUGAGCAUGAGCAUGAGCAUGAGCAUGAGCAUGAUUGAUUGCCCGCGGUUGCUCCUCUGUUAUUGCAAGGACAUCUGCAUUUACACAAAGAACCAACAGGUGAUGCUUGGGACUAGCUUUCUCCUCAUUGUGUAAAUGCUGGAAUCCCAAUACUUUUCAAUAAGCAAUACCAGCGCCGGCCGUGUCCGAAUGCAGAUCAAUUGAGGAUAGGGAAGGUAGUGAUGACGUGAAUCUCGCUUAGGCCAAUAACCGAGGAAUUAUCUGCGUUACUACGAGAAAUCACCAGGAGUUUGGAUAUGGGAAGGGAAUAUGUAUUAGGGAUUUUGUCUUGGUAAACAAAUUGCUACAAUCAACGGACCGAUUCUGUUUUGUUUUACGAUGAACGAUGCACAAGCAAUAAAUCCCAUUGAAAUCGUCCCCACAUUCGCGUUAUUUUCAAGGAAUAUUUACCGUAAGGGGUCGAGCACUUUUCCAUGCGAAAACAAGCUAAAAACAAAAUCCUAUCGCGCGUCUCCACUCCGUUAGGAAGCAGAAGUCUUCAAUCCAUUUCACACAGAAUUGAACUGAACGCGACGUUUAGCCUAGUUUUAAUGUGACAUCAUCACACAUCAUCACGAUCAAAAACAAAAAUAUAUAUCUCAAUUUACAUACCUCAAACAAAAAAAAAGAAGUUAAUCAAAAAAAUAGUAAAACCACUUCAAUAAAAACUGUCUUCACACCCGCGACAUUACGAAUCUAGGCCUGAAUAAAACGUGGAGAACGUGGUCUACUUGUCACUAAAUGUGUUGAAAUGUAAAAAAAAAAUCGAAAAAAAUGGAAACAAAAGUCUACUGUACGAUACGGACUUGGAUACAUGCCAAAAGUAAUUGUAGGGUGGGGCGGGGCAAGAUGGGUCACCUAAGGAUGCAUCACCAUAACUUUGUAAAUACAAAUCGUAUUGGUUUGUAUUCGUCCGCUACUCUUCAAUACACUAGUUAGCUAUGCUAAAAGUCCAUAAAAAGUUUAUUAAAUACAAAAUAUGAUGUUAAACAAGCAGUUUUGAAAAGUGAUUGAUUUUGCGCCGUGAAAAAAGUGCGGGGCAAGAUGGGUCACCUUUUAAGUAAUUCACAUUUUCUCAACGAAAAACGUCAAAAUAUAAGAUUUGUUCCGCAUUCAUAUAUGCUCCAUAUCCAUACUGAGUAAACAAGAGCUGCUAGUAAACAUUUUAUAAAUUUAUUUGGAAUAUAAAAAACUUUACGAUUCGAGUGGUCCUCAGGCGACUUGAAAAUCGAUGUUUUCACUAAAAAAUUAUCAUAAUUUUAUGUUAUAAUUUAAAGCGUUCAUUCCGCUUGAUUGAAGUCAGUUAUGAGAUAGUCUUGUAAUAAAAAAUAAAUAACUUUUGACUGCUCCAAAAAUACGUUCAAAAUUGAAGGUGACCCAUCUUGCCCCGCGGCCGUUUAUAUGGAGAUUAUAUGGGAUGUAUCGCAUAAGAAAAAUGGCUAAAAACCAUUUUAUUUUUUAUUUCCAAUGAGAGUGAAUAAUUUUUCAAUCAAUGCCCCGAACUUUUGUAUAUUCAUGCUGGUCAUCUAACAAAAUUAUUAACAUAAUCAAAACAUGAGUAAUGCGCCCGAAAAUGGCACUGACCCAUCUUGCCCCGCGACCCAUCUUGCCCCGCCCCACCCUACAUCUUAUUUCCUUGAAAGUCUCGUUAAUAAAGACAAUAAUAAUAAAUCUUAUUUCCUUUUUAAAGAGGGGAAAAGUAGUUGGAACUUUCUCACCAAAUCAGCAGCUCAGCAUCCAAUUCAGGAUUCACGUCCCAAAACGACCGCAUUUUCACUCCGGUAGUUUAUACGGACGCUUCAAUUGCACCGACAUCAGUGCUACUAAUGCAGGAGCCCGGAACCACAAACACACUUUUGCACACGCGAACAGGCACUGUUUUUUUUGGAUUAAAACACGAUUUCAUAGAACCGAAAUGAAAUUAAAUUGAACGCAAACUGAAUCUUCCAAAAGGCAGUUAGAAAAUCUAAAACGAGAGCCGAUAUGCAAAACCCAUUUUCUGAAAAAAUCAGUAUUUUUGAGAAAGUGCAUGAAAAGGUUUCUAAAUGAAAGCAUUUGAAAAUUUUUGAAAAAAUCUGUAAAAAUUCAUAGAUGAAUUUCUGGAACAAUCUAUGCGAAAUUUGUUGAGAGGAAUUCUUGAAGUAUUUUCUAAGGGAAUCCAUGUAACAUUUUUUGAAGCUAUCCGUGCAAGACUUUCUUUAGGAUUUCUUCGAGGAAAUUCCGGAGGACAUUCUAAAGUCUAAAGGAAUCCCAAGAAAAAUGUGUGAAAAAAAUCCUGACUGAAUUUCUUUAGGAAUUCUAUGAUAUUUGUUUAACCGUUAUGUGGCCGGCAAACUUUUUGCUUUUUUCUACACCGUGUAUUUUAAAUGGGUGCUGGGUACCCGGGUAUCCUACCGGCCACAUAAGGGUUAAAGUAAAUCUACGAAGAGUUUUCAAAGGUUUCCAAAGUUUCUUUAAGAAUACCUGGGAGAUUUCUGUGAAAAUCUGGAAAUAUUUCUGAAUAAAUUAUUAAUCGAAUUUAUGAUAAAAUCCAUGGGAGAUUUUCUGAAAGCAUUUCUCGAAAAAAAUGUGGAAGGUCAGUUUGUAUAGGAAUCCCUGCAGAAAAUUCCUGAAUGGAUCUCACAUUCGUGGAGUAAUUUCUAAACAAAUUACAGGAAGAUUCUGGGACAGAAAUUCAGAUUUAAAAUAAAUCCCUAAAGCAAUUUCUAGAGCAAGUCCCAGAAAAAGUUUUGGAGUAAAUUCUUGGAAGAUCGUUUGGGAGAAUGCAGGAGUUUCCGAAGAAUUUUUCGGAAAAAAAUCAAGAAAUUCCCAAAAAAAUGGGGUAAUCUCUGAAAGAUUUUAUAAAUAAAUACCUGGAGGAAUUUUUGCUCAUACACAACUAUCUUACACAACAAUUUUUUUUUCGAAACUUCUGGAAGAAUCCCUAAUGGAAUUUCUGGAGAAAUUGGAAGUUUCCAAAUUAACACAGUACAAAUUUUUGAAGGAACUUUUGAAACAUCUUUUCAAAAAUUCUGGAAUAGUUUGUAAAGGCAUCGCUGCAAGUUUUAUCAAAGAAAUAUCUGGAGAAAUUUCUGAAUAAAUGUCUAAAGACAUUUUUGAAGGAAUCUGAACGAAUUUAUGAAAGAAUCCCUGGAGGAAUUUCUGCCUUAAUUCAUGAUUUUUUUUGGGACAUAAAAUGGAGAAAUUUCAGAAGUAAAUCAUAAGAUGCUUUGAAAGAUUUUUUUGUGGAAUCAGUAGAAUAGGAGGAAUUUCUAAACAAAGAAAAUUUCCGAAAGAAUCCAAGGAUUUUUUUUUGAAAGAAUCCGUGAGGGCAUUUUUGGCCGAAUACUCGGAAAAAAAUCCGUACCAUUUUUUUUGAAAGAUUUUUAGUAGAAUUUCUAAAGAAAAUUUCUGAUAGAUUUUCUAAAUGAAUCUCCAAUAAAUUCUCCAAACGAAUGACUAGAGAAUUUCUGAAGUAGUUUUUCAUUUUCGAUUUUAUAGACAUUUCGAAUAUUGAAAUGUACACUAAAUCGAGGUAUACCUGUAUAACUUUGAUUGACAUUGAGCUUCGGAUCUAAAAUAUUUAGAAUUUUGAUUCCACAUGAUCAGUGUUGCCAGCUACUAAAUAAAUUUUGUGUCACAUAAGCAAUAAUGGAUUACAUUUGAGUUACAUUACAACUAUCUCAAGCAUUCAAAUAAUCAAUAACGAUUCAUUUACACUACCCGUUUUAACUACGGUCUCUCACUUGAAAAAGUAUUCCAACAAUCAGUUAUAAACGAGUAAAUUCAUGCUGCUAUAUCUCGACAUCUUGGUAAUCUGUGAAGAUACAGUCUUCGGCAACUUUGUUCAGAAGGUCGUUUAUUUCAUAAAGGCAAGCAAUUUAAUUCGCAAUUCCACUGCCAGGCGACGCUAGUAAGCAUGUGAAAAUAAGAAUUUUUAACUAGCUCGAUCGCGCAAUCCCGAUAAGAUAAAAAGUUCAAGUUUUCGGCAAAGUUGUCUUUGGCCUCGUAAAGGUAAGCAGUUUGGUUCGCAAUUCCGCUGCUAGGUGACGCUAGUGAGCAUGUAAAAAUAAGCAUUUUUAGUUAGUUCUAUCUCGCGAUCCCGAUAGGAUAGAAAGUUCAAGUCUUCGGCAAAUUUGUACAGAAAGUCGUUUGGUUCGUAAAGACAAGCAGUUUGAUUUCUCUCCUGGCUGACGCUAGUGAGCAUGUAAAAAACAUUUUGAACCAGCUUUACCCGUUUUAGUUUCAACAGUAAAUAAGUCGCACUCGCUCUUCGUAUAUACACGGUGGCAGAAUUCGCUCAUUUUCAUGUAAAGUGGAACAACACAAAAAUGAGUAAAUUGCAUUUCCAGUUCUAGCGCUGGCAUAAGUGUGAAAAUCUCUGUGCUCAUUCUAUGAGUCCAGUGACGUGGCACAGCUCGACUCGUGUAUCGAGGUGAGAAAUCUCGAAUCGAAUGAGGUGAUUCUCCAUUUGAUUUGCCCGGCGAGUCACUUCAUUUGAGUCGAUCUUUCUCACCUCUAAGUACGAGUCCGAGUUGUGUCGCUUCACUCCAUUCGCAGAAUGAACCCAGUCAGUUUAAGCAGUAAGAAUAUUAUAUGGCUUAAAUAGAUUGGAUUUUUGCACUUAGCCUGGCGCUGGCACUGGAAAAUUUGCUCAUUUUUUGUGCUUUAGCUUUUAGCUCAGAUUUGUGUGAAUGUUACUAAUUUGUGUCAUGGAUUGGCUUGGUAGCAUAAUUGGUAAACAACGUGCCUAGCAGUAGCGUACAAGGGUUGUGAGUGAGUUCAAAUCCCACCUGAGCUUUGGUUUUUUGAAUAUCACUCAUAAUUUGUCUAUUUGUACAUUUCACUCAUAUCUUAAUCCUAGUAAGAUGUUGGGGUCAAUAUGACACAGAUAGGCAUGCUGAACGUGCACUACACCAUCGUGAUGCGAAAUACCUAACAUCCUAGGAGGGUUAACUGUUUGUACAUUUAGUUAGUUAGAAAUCUUUGUCAUUCUAGGAAAUUUAGCGAAAUCUUAUUCUAAAUGCACAGUGAUGCCAUGUAGCGACAGAAAGUAAUAUUUGCCUUAAAUGAUGUUUUCAAUUUGCAGAACAAUUAUUGAACCGGGCUUCAAUCCAUUGAUGAGGUGUGAAGGUUUAUAAAUAGCUCUUUGGCUUGACUGAAAAAGUCUGUUCCUGACAGAAUACACAGCGUAACAAAAAUUAACUUUUGGUCUGUCUCAAGAGCAAACUAAUGUAUCUCUGACAGAUUUUGGGCCGCUGAAUCCGAAUCCGCGCUCAGAUUUGCUCCAACACGUCACAAUUUUGAGCUCAAUUUAUAGGGCAAAAUAUGCGAUUUUGGGCUUUUUGACAGCAAGCCAUUAAGAAUGGAAAUAUAUGUUUUAACCCUUUGGAGCCGGAGGGGUCAUAUAUGACCCCGGCGAUGAAACCGAGCAUAACAAACGUGUUCGACACCAGCGAGGUUGCGUCGACAGUGGCGAAAAAAAUCGGCUCCAAAAGGUUAAGCAAUCAAAAGGUUAAUUGGUCAAUUAACAUCUAAAUUAACGACUCAUGCAAAAUAUUUCGUUUUACCAAAUCGAAUUUGACAGUUUUAAGCGAUUUAUGUUAGGUACGAUAUUUCCCAUACAAGUCACCCUCCAAAAGUUGCAUGCAAGUUUUCAUACUAACAUAAAAUGCUUAAAUCUAUUAAAUUUGAUUAGGUAAAAUGAAAUAUUUUGCAUGAGUCGUUAAUUUAGAUGUUAACUGACCAAUUAACCUUUUGAUUGCUUAAAAAAAUAUUUCCAUGCUUAAUGGCUUGCAGUUAAAAAAGCCCAAAAUCGCAUAUUUUGCCCUAUAAAUUGAGGUAUAGCUCAAAAUUGUGACGUGUUGGAGCAAAUCUGAGCCCGGAUUCGGAUUCAGCGGCCCAAAAUCCUUCGGAGACACAUAAGUUUGCUCUUGAGACAAAAAAAAUGUUGCGCUGUGAUAUCAAUUCUAGCGAGCCUCUAAGUCUAAUUUGAUCGAUCAUCUUGAACAACGACAGUGAAAGUUUACGAGCUCAUAACGCAUGUCAGGUGGCCGCACUUUCACUUUUCCAAAUGCUAAUCAUCUUGCCAAGGACUUCUUAUGCAGCUAUUUCCGUAAACUUCACAGUUGAGUUAGUAUAGUACAAAUACGUAGAUUAACUCACUUAGCAGUGAUACUAGAGGUGCUACUCUUUAGUUGUAAAUCUAAAAGCUGAGUCAAAUGCUGUAUAUUGUUAGUUUUUCCUUUAACUAGCUGUUAUGCCGUGAAUUUAUAGCCUCUCAUCAAACCAAGUCAAACAGAAAAAAAAACAAAUAUGUAUUCCGAGCAAUCUCAAGCUCACGGACCCGCAAUCAUCGUUGAGAGGUUGUGAUUGCCGUCUGCGACACAUUCAAUGACCCCGCUCUCUGCAACCCAAGAGCACACUAGUGCACGAGGAAACGAGGAAAGGGUCGUAUGGGUUGUUACUGGUCAUGAGAGAAUGCGUGGUGCACUUGAAAAACGUUUCCCAACAUGCAAAGCUCAACUAAAACACGGGCGACAACAGUAAGUGCCCCCCACCAGCUACUAUAGCCCAGCCCCAGGACACACUGACUGUGUGGGGGCUUGGCCCCUCCUGGUUCUAAUCACCUCUCCGUCCCGUCGCUACUAUUGACCAAGCGGUCGGCCUGCGUUUUGGUCAAGACCAAAGCAGAGCGAGUACCUAACCUACCUAUAGCGUGCAAACGCACACCUCCGGAGGAAGCUCCGGAGAAAAAAAGAAGUCUUACGUGUAAACGAAACAAAAUUGACCACUUGGGCGUUAAUCGGAUUAAUGUUUAUUUAAUUAGGGAACGACAUAAUUGCGGUUGCAGUCCCACGCAAUGCGGGGAAUGGACGCCACACCAGCCGGACCAGAUUUAAGGUUUGUCGGGGAAAAUGUGAGGAAAAUGCGUUGGUGUAUGUUGGAAAAGCAGAGGAACUUCCUUCAUAACAAUACAAAUAGAGAAAAAAAAAACACAAUCUAAGCCUCUAUUUAUUCUCAUCACCUACUAAUUCUGAGUGAGUAUUGUUAAGUGUAAAAAAUCAGUGUAGAACGCAAAAGAUGUCCCUGAUAUUGAAUCAUCCGGUAAGACUGUUCUAGUUGGUAAACGCCUACGUAUUUUAAAGUCGAAAUUCCUCAAAAUGUUGUUCAUCAACCAAAAACACAAUCGUUGUACUCUUAAAGCAGCAAAUGGAAAAAUUACAUUUCCGCUUUUGCAAUGACGAUCAUCCGCGUUCUUCGGCGCCAAAUGGCAGUAGCUACAGAAUUUUUAAUAAAGUAAAUCAGAUUGCGUUUCGCAUAAAUUAGAUCCGAGGUGUGCGAGAAUGGAACACGGGCGGAACACGAACUGGUAAAUAGUAAAUUCUAGGUAACAGCCCGCGUAGAAUACGGUGAAUGAUAAUUUGAUGCGACAGUAAAAACCCCUUAAGCGAAUACUCGACACUUUUGGUUCCGUUCUGCCGAAAUUUUCUUUCUGCUUUCGGGGAGAUGGGACGCUGCUUUGAGUUGAUUUGCACGAACGAAUGGAAAGCAACGUGGAAUGAACGUAAAUGCUUUUGGAAUAAAAUGUGUUAAUGAUGUUGCAACAAAAAAUUGCUGGAGGGCUUCCCUAGUAAACUGGAUUCACAGUCUUAAGAGUAUCUAGGAUAAAAUUAUCUAGGAAUGUUGUUUGAAUUAUAAUACUCGAAAUAUAUUUUCGUUGCUCCGAAAUGUCUAAAACAGGAUCAUGGAAAACUGUCAAAUAUUUUUAAACAACGUGCUCGUUUCUACCAGACAAGGUUUAUUUUUUUCUGGCAAAAAAAAGCCUAGCCUCCGAGGACGCCAAAAGCGGAAGCCACGAGACAAGGGAGACCCACCGGAAUGAAACCUACCAGAUAAUCCUUGAUUGCAGCAGACAUCGGCCCGGUUGUUGAUGGGUGUGAGAGAAUUUUUGAGCUCCAACACUGUAGAACGGUAAUGCGAUAAAAAUGUUUCCUCCUCGUUGCUUUGGAAGGGAAAUAUUUACAAGGGCGAAAAAAAAAUAGACAAACACAAUCUGGAGCACCAAAAGCACAGCAGCAGCAUGUCUGUUUCGGCAAUUACCUGCAAGGUGUUUGGCUGCGAUUUUUUUUUCUCGAUGAUGGUGCGGUGUUCGCAGUCCUUGCAUGAUAAUUGCUCGGCAGUGUUUAAUGUGUUUUGGAAUCGUUCCAGUAAUAAUGCGUCGUUGUCGAUGGAGGUCUAGGGCCAAAGAGAGAAG